rnacentral:rRNA from 1 species
UACGGAGGGUGCAAGCGUUAUCCGGAUUCACUGGGUUUAAAGGGUGCGUAGGUGGGCAGGUAAGUCAGUGGUGAAAUCUCCGGGCUUAACCCGGAAACUGCCAUUGAUACUAUUUGUCUUGAAUACCGUGGAGGUCAGCGGAAUAUGUCAUGUAGCGGUGAAAUGCUUAGAUAUGACAUAGAACACCAAUUGCGAAGGCAGCUAUCUACAGGAAUAUUGACACUGAGGCACGAAAGCGUGGGGAUCAAACAGG